rnacentral:rRNA from 1 species
CCUACGGGUGGCAGCAGUGAGGAAUAUUGGUCAAUGGCCGGAAGGCUGAACCAGCCAAGUCGCGUGAGGGACGACUGCCCUAUGGGUUGUAAACCUCUUUUAUAAGGGAAGAAUGAAUGCCACGUGUAGCAUUUUGCCUGUACCUUAUGAAUAAGCAUCGGCUAACUCCGUGCCAGCAGCCGCGGUAAUACGGAGGAUGCGGGCGUUAUCCGGAUUUAUUGGGUUUAAAGGGGGCGGUGGCCGUUUUUUAAGGUAGCUGGUAAAUCGUGUGGCUUAACCCUGGUUUUGCCUUUAGUACUGUAGGACUCGAGUUCGGACGAGGCAGGCGGAAUAAGUUGAGUAGCGGUGAAAUGCUUAGAUAUCACGUAGAACCCCGAUUGCGAAGGCAGCUUGCCGGACCGCGACUGACGCUGAAGCACGAGAGCGUGGGUAGCGAACAGGAUUAGAUACCCGUGUAGUC